rnacentral:rRNA from 1 species
GCAACAUGAGAGAAGGCCUGUCUCCUAAGGCCGGCCAAUGAAAUUGAACUGCCCGUACAAAAGCUGGCAUUAACAAGCUAGACAAAAAGACCCUGUGGAACUUUAACAAUUUGUUUAUACACACUAAACAAUAGUUUCAGUUGGGACAACUUUAGAAAAAAUAAACCUCUUAUUACAUUAAGACCAACAAGUCUAAAAAUUUUAACCUCGACCCAGUCAUACUGAUUAACGAAACAAGCUACCCCAGGGAUAACAGCGCCACCUUCUCAAAGAGUCCAUAUCAACAAGAAGAUCUACGACCUCGAUGUUGGAUCAGGGUACCCAGACGGUGCAGCAGCUGUCAAAGGUUCGUUUGUUCAACGACUAACACCCU